CGCCGGAGUGAGCCGGGAAGGUACUUGUGGCGACCCUGCCAGUAGCGCGCAUUUUCCUGGUCCCAGCACGUGGGGCUUAUGGGGCUUGUGGGCCCCAUGUCUCCACUUCUGUCUGGCUCCGCGCCGGAGUUGCCUAGCCACAGUCGCUCGCCCGUCUGCAGGCCCACUCUUCACUCGCUGGACCUCGAAUCACCUUCGGCCCUGACCUCCGGUCAGGAGGUCGCUGUCGCCUGAGGACGGUCGAACGGCCGCACCAGCCGGGCACCGCGUGGACCGCGGCCCCAGCCCGCCUUCCUUUUGCCUAUAACUUUCUUCAAUCAGUCCAGACGAGAUGGCGAUCUUGCUAUGUUGCCCAGGCUGGUUUGUGUACAUUGAAAUAUCAGAAAGCAGAGGUGUCACUAACUCAGCCCACCAUGUGAACAAUCCGAACAUCACCAUCAUUCCUGACUUAGAAUUUGUAUGGAAUACAGAUGAAUUCUGUGAGGCACCCCAAACUAGCCCGGGCCAAGAGACCACAUGGUGUUCCAGCUGACAGCCAGCACUACCUGCCAGGCACCAGGGCUGUGAAUGAAGACAUGUCCACAUGAUUCCAGAUACCAGUUGUUGAGUCACCCCCAUACCCACUGUACCCCAUCUAAAUUCUUGAGCCGCAGA